GACGAACGCUGGCGGCGUGCUUAACACAUGCAAGUCGAACGGAAAGGCCCCAGCUUGCUGGGGUACUCGAGUGGCGAACGGGUGAGUAACACGUGGGUGAUCUGCCCUGCACUCUGGGAUAAGCCUGGGAAACUGGGUCUAAUACCGGAUAGGACCGUGCUUUAGUGUGUGCGGUGGAAAGUUUUUCGGUGCAGGAUGAGCCCGCGGCCUAUCAGCUUGUUGGUGGGGUAAUGGCCUACCAAGGCGGCGACGGGUAGCCGGCCUGAGAGGGUGUACGGCCACAUUGGGUCUGAGACACGGCCCAGACUCCUACGGGAGGCAGCAGUGGGGAAUAUUGCACAAUGGGCGCAAGCCUGAUGCAGCGACGCCGCGUGGGGGAUGACGGCCUUCGGGUUGUAAACCCCUUUCGGCAGGGACGAAGCUUUUGUGACGGUACCUGCAUAAGAAGCACCGGCUAACUACGUG
rnacentral:rRNA from 1 species